GCCACGGUGGUCUAGCGGUUAGAACGCUGGCCUUGUAAUCCUGGGGUCUCGGGUUCGAUUCCCGGCGGUCCCC
rnacentral:tRNA from 1 species